rnacentral:lncRNA from 10 species
AGUUGUCAUUAUCUGCAGACAAACUGAGUAUGAUACUCCCAUUCACAAAGAUCUCAUUGAUUUAUCUCUCCACACAGUGAAUACAUUACAAAAGGAGGAAAAGAUUUUGUCAGGUUUUUUUGUUUGUUUUUUUGUUUGUUUGUUUGUUUUUUGAUACAGAGUCUCCUUCUGUUGUCCAGGUUGGAGUGCAGUGGCGUGAUCUUGGCUCACUGCAAACUCUGCCUCCCAGGUUCAAGCGAUUCUCCCCCUUCAGCUUCCCGAGUAGCUGGGACUAUAGGCGCCCACCACCAUGCCUGGCUAAUUUUUGUAUUUUCAGUAGAAUCGGGGUUUCUCUGUGUUGCCUGGGCUGGUCUCAAAAUCCUGACCUCAGAUGAUCCACCCGCCUCGGCCUCCCAAAGUGCUGCAAUUACAGGCAUGAGCCACCACUCCUGGCCACAGUUGUUUUUCUUUUUAUAUCUGAUAUGAAUUGGACAAGAAUUGAAAGUGGCUAUGAUAAUGACAAAAAGUUCAGAAGGUAAUUGUUUGCUUCCCUGCUCAAGGACAAAGAGAGGAGGAUUCUUUUGAGAGAGGGGUUUCUUUCAUAAUUCUUUUACUUAAAAAUUAAUAUCUUGCUGGGCACAGUGGCUCAUGCCUGUAAUCCCAGCACUUUGGGAGACCAAGGCAGGAGGAUCACUUGAGGUUAGGAGUUUGAGACCAGCCUGGCCAAAAUGGUGAAACCCCAUCUCUACUAAAAAUACAAAAAUAAGUCGGGCGUGGUGGCAUGCACCUGCAGUCCCAGCUACUCAGGAGGCUGAGGGAAAAGAAUCACUUGAACCCUGGAGGCAGAGGUUGCGGUGAGCCCAGAUCAAGCCACUGCACUCCAGCCUGGGAGACAGAAAGAGACUUUGUCUCAAAAAAUAUGUAAUAAUAAUAAUAUUAAUUAAUGUCUUAUUCAGAAACCACUAUCCAGGAUCCAUGAUUAAUUCAUUCAAAAGUUGAUUGAGGAUGUACAAUUUGUCAUUGUGCUUUGUGAUCAAGAAUAUGGAAAGGAAACACUCAGUGCCUGAAUUCAAGGUCAUGGUGUUCAAAUGAACUUGAUUCAUCUAGGGGAUAAGUGGUCCAGUGUGACUGGAACACAUGAGGAUAAGGCUGGGGAGACUGGUGGUGAUGACAUUAUAAAGGACCUUGUGUAACAUGCUAAGGAGAUUGGAUUUUGCCCUGAGAGCAACAAGGAGAGCUCAUGAGUAGGGUGGUGUCAUCACCAAGUUUAUUUUUUGUGGUGAUAACUCCGGCAACCCUUAGAUAGAUUGGACUAGAGAUAGCAUUAGCGAUUAACAUCAGGAGGGUCGUUUUAAGAAAUGCUAAAAACCUAAUUUAAGGCAGUAGAUUGUGGAUGGAGAAAAAGGAUUUGCUGGCCAAUUGGAUGAGCAGAGUAAGAGAUAGAAGAGUUGAAGAAGAGGAGAAGUUGGUUCUAGUUUGAAAGGCUCAAUGAACUGGGCAUGGUGUCUAGUGCCUGUAUGCCCAACACUCUGGGAGUCUGAGGCGGGCAGAUCACUUGAGGCCAAGAGUUCCAGACCAGCCUGGCUAACGUUGUGAAACCCCAUCUCUACUAAA